ACCCAACUAACGAGUCCCAAAUAGGACGAAACGCACGUCUUCGAU
rfam:Schistosoma haematobium scaffold148_24, whole genome shotgun sequence.